UAAUCACCUUUUUUGUGUAGGAUAGAGGCCUACCAUGCCAUAACGGGUAACGGGGAAUUAGGGUUCGAUUCCGGAGAGGGAGCCUGAGAAACGGCUACCACAUCCAAGGAAGGCAGCAGGCGCGCAAAUUACCCAAUCCCGAUACGGGGAGGUAGUGACAAUAAAUAACAAUACAGGGCUCUUAUGGGUCUUGUAAUUGGAAUGAGUACAAUUUAAAUCCCUUAACGAGGAACAAUUGGAGGGCAAGUCUGGUGCCAGCAGCCGCGGUAAUUCCAGCUCCAAUAGCGUAUAUUAAAGUUGUUGCAGUUAAAAAGCUCGUAGUUGAAUUUCGGGGUUCUACCGUUGGUCGGGCAAUAGUCUGUACUGGCGUGUAGAAUUUCUACCUUCUGGGGAACCAUCAUGUUAUUUAUUUAGCGUGGUGGGAAACCAGGACCUUUACCUUGAAAAAAUUAGAGUGUUCAAAGCAGGCUUACGUCUGAAUACAUUAGCAUGGAAUAAUAAAAUAGGACGGUGGUCCUGUUUUGUUGGUUUCUGAAUCACCGUAAUGAUUAAUAGGGAUAGUUGGGGGCAUUAGUAUUCAAUUGUCAGAGGUGAAAUUCUUGGAUUUAUUGAAGACUAACUUCUGCGAAAGCAUUUGCCAAGGAUGUUUUCAUUAAUCAAGAACGAAAGUUAGGGGAUCGAAGACGAUCAGAUACCGUCGUAGUCUUAACCAUAAACUAUGCCGACUAGGGAUCGGACGAUGUUAAUUUUUCUUGACUCGUGAGGCGCCUUACGGGAAACCAAAGUGUUUUGGGUUCA
rnacentral:rRNA from 1 species